CCAUUUGUUUUGUACCCAUUUGUUUUGUAUCCAUUUUUUUUUUUGUGUAUAUAUGUUGUUUACAUUUAUAUGUCUUUUUUUUUUUUUUUUUUUUUUUUUUUUUUUUUUUUUUUUUUUUUUUUGCAGAAGCUGUAAAUACUUUGUUCUCUGCCGACUCUUUUUUUGUUGAUCAUGUAGAAAAUUUAAAAUUAAAGUAAGAACAUAAAAAAAAAAUGAACAGUUAAAACGGUUAUAUGUGUACUUGUUUGUUUAAACAUAUUUUAUUUUGGUUUGAUAUCAUUUUUUAUUUUUACAGAUUAACUGAACGUGACCAAAAAUUGCAGUUUGAAAAUGAACGAUUAAAAAAAUUAGCACUUGAAGCAAAAGUUGAAGAAUAUGAUGACAAAUUUGAAAAGAAUAAAGAAAAGAAUAAUGAAAUGGAUGCGACCAUAAAUAAGCUCAAACAAGACAUCGAGAAGUUUAAUGAAAAGAUACAAAACUACGACAACUACGUGAAAAAUAAGAGAAAAGAAAUAGACAUAAAUUUUCCUGAAAAUCUCGAAUGCAAAGAAAGGAUCAAAUUAUUAGAAGACAACAUAAAGGCCGUCGAAAGAAAUAUGAAAACUACUCAAUUGUCGCCAUUAAAAAUUAUAGAAAAAACAGAAAAUUAUAUUAUUUUAGAAUUUAAGACAAUACGUAAUGUCACACAGUUCAAAGUUAACAACUACCAAACUAAAAAUGCGGAAGUUGAAAUUAACCCAUGUGACCAAAAUAUGUUAUCAUAUAUAAAUGAAAAUAUCCAAAAGUGUAAAGACUUUUCAGAAAUCACAUAUUUAAUUAAAGAGGCUAUUUAUUUGAAUAAUUUAGAGAUCUAAUAUUUUAAUUUAUUUUUCAAAUAUUAUGUUUGAUAUUUUCUAUUUUUUUCUUUUUUUUUUUUGGUAUAUUUAUUCAGUAUAAAAAUGCAUUUAUUUAUAGCUGCAGUUUCUGCGUAUUGUCAAAUGCAUUAAAGUGCGCAUUGUUUCUGUACAAUUUAAAAAUCACUUGUUUAUAUUUGUUAUUUUAGUUUACAUAUAUAUAUAUAUAUAUAACACAUUUUGCAUACGUUUAUUUUUAACUCUUUAGAUAAUUUUUUUUUUAUUUUUUUCAAUGUAACCUUUAAAAAUAGAAAACAAUAUACAAAAUAUAAAUCCAGUUAUUUAAAAAAAAAAAAAAAAAAAAAAAAAAAAAAAAGGUUAAAAAUUUAUGUUAUAUAUAUGUGCAUAUAUGUAUAUAUGUAUGCAUACAUGCAUGCAUGUAGAUCGUAUCAUUUUAAAAUUUUUUUUUUUUUUUACAUAAAAAAUGAUAACAUGUUAGUAAGGUUACAAAGAUCAAAACUAUAGCCAUCUCAAUUCUUCUUAACAAUAAUAUUCUUACAUAUUACUGUGUUAUAAUUUAUACAACUAUGUUUUCGAAAUGGAAUCUACAGUGUGUUCUAGCAUUAAUUUUUAUUUAUCGUGCGGAUGUUAUGUAUGUAUAUAUAUGUGUAGGAAAACGAAGGUAAUAGCAAAAAAAAAGUAACAUUUUAAUUAACGAAAUGAGCAGAAAAAUUUAGUAACCAUGCAAUGCUACAUUGGUUUACAUAAAAAAGGUAUCUUAUUUUUAGUGUGAUAUGUAUAUGUGACUUAAAUGUUUUUUUGUAUACAUACAUACAUAUAUAUAUAUGCGCGUAUAAAUACUAUUAUAAAAUUUAUAUACACGUGUGUAUAUAAUAUUUAUACAAACGUAUUAAAAAAAAAAAAAAAAAAAAAAAAAACGCUAAGAAAAAUGUUAACGAAAAUGUAAAUUACUUAUAUUUUUCUUUUACUUAUUAAACAUAAACUUGUUCAUAAAUUAGAUGAGUUAUACGAGCAUAAAUACUUACAUAUAUGACACAUUUACUCGUUUGGUCUCAUACGAGUAAGCAAUUACAAAUGACUAUAUUUUCUAGACAAUAAGUUAAGAUUUAAAUAGUACAUAUUUUAAAAAGUGUGAAUAUUUGAUAAAAAAAUAAAAAUAAAAAAAAUAGUACUAAAAAAUAAUAA
rnacentral:lncRNA from 1 species